rnacentral:tRNA from 1 species
UCUCUCGUAGCUUAGUAGUCAGAGCAUUGGUGCGUUAAACCGAAGGUCCCGGGUUCGAUUCCCGGCGGGGGCG